rnacentral:rRNA from 1 species
UUGACCUCGGAUCAGGUAGGGAUACCCGCUGAACUUAAGCAUAUCAAUAAGCGGAGGAAAAGAAACCAACAGGGAUUGCCCCAGUAACGGCGAGUGAAGCGGCAAGAGCUCAAAUUUGAAAGCUGGCUCCUUCGGGGUCCGCA